CAACAAGAAGGCAGGGUAGCCUAGUGGUUAGAGUGUAGGGACGGCAGGUAGCCUAGUGGUUAGAGUGUAGGGACGGCAGGGUAGCCUAGUGGUUAGAGUGUAGGGGCGGCAGGGUAGCCUAGUGGUUAGAGUGUAGGGACGGCAGGGUAGCCUAGUGGUUAGAGUGUAGGGGCGGCAGGGUAGCCUAGUGGUUAGAGUGUAGGGACGGCAGGGUAGCCUAGUGGUUAGAGUGUAGGGACGGCAGGGUGGCCUAGUGGUUAGAGUGUAGGGACGGCAGGGUAGCCUAGUGGUUAGAGUGUAGGGACGGCAGGGUAGCCUAGUGGUUAGAGUGUAGGGACGGCAGGGUAGCCUAGUGGUUAGAGUGUAGGGGCGGCAGGGUAGCCUAGUGGUUAGAGUGUAGGGACGGCAGGGUAGCCUAGUGGUUAGAGUGUAGGGACGGCAGGGUAGCCUAGUGGUUAGAGUGUAGGGACGGCAGGGUAGCCUAGUGGUUAGAGUGUAGGGACGGCAGGGUAGCCUAGUGGUUAGAGUGUAGGGACGGCAGGUAGCCUAGUGGUUAGAGUGUAGGGACGGCAGGGUAGCCUAGUGGUUAGAGUGUAGGGACGGCAGGGUAGCCUAGUGGUUAGAGUGUAGGGACGGCAGGGUAGCCUAGUGGUUAGAGUGUAGGGACGGCAGGGUAGCCUAGUGGUUAGAGUGUAGGGACGGCAGGGUAGCCUAGUGGUUAGAGUGUAGGGACGGCAGGGUAGCCUAGUGGUUAGAGUGUAGGGACGGCAGGUAGCCUAGUGGUUAGAGUGUAGGGACGGCAGGGUAGCCUAGUGGUUAGAGUGUAGGGACGGCAGGGUAGCCUAGUGGUUAGAGUGUAGGGACGGCAGGGUAGCCUAGUGGUUAGAGUGUAGGGACGGCAGGGUAGCCUAGUGGUUAGAGUGUAG